rnacentral:rRNA from 1 species
UACAGAGGUCCCAAGCGUUGUUCGGAUUCACUGGGCGUAAAGGGCGCGUAGGCGGUCGGGUAAGUCUGACGUGAAAUCCCUUGGCUCAACCAAGGAACUGCGUCUUAAACUGCCCGGCUUGAGUCCGGGAGAGGGUAGUGGAAUUCCCAGUGUAGCGGUGAAAUGCGUAGAUAUUGGGAGGAACACCGGUGGCGAAGGCGGCUACCUGGACCGGUACUGACGCUGAGGCGCGAAAGCUAGGGUAGCAAACAGG